CUAGGAUUCAUCAACACAGAAGCAAAUCGAAAAAAUAUUUAAUAGAGGAAGUGGUGCUCCAACAAAUUGAAGUGGGAGAAAAUGGAAAAAAAAGACGAUGUGAAUCACCACAUGACAAUGAUGACAAAGAAGAUGAAGAGCAGCAUCCUUUAAAUGAAUCGGGACCACAUGACAAUGAUGACAAAGAAGAUGAAGAGCAGCAUCCUUUAAAGGAAUCGAGACCACAUGACAAUGAUAAAGAAGAUGAAGAGCAGCAUCCUUUAAAUGAAUCAGGACCACAUGACAAUGAUGACAAAGAAGAUGAAGAGCAGCAUCCUUUAAAGGAAUCGGGGUAAG